AUUGAACGCUGGCGGCAUGCCUUACACAUGCAAGUCGAACGGUAACAGGUCUUCGGAUGCUGACGAGUGGCGAACGGGUGAGUAAUACAUCGGAACGUGCCUAGUAGUGGGGGAUAACUACUCGAAAGAGUGGCUAAUACCGCAUGAGAUCUACGGAUGAAAGCAGGGGAUCGCAAGACCUUGUGCUACUAGAGCGGCCGAUGGCAGAUUAGGCAGUUGGUGGGAUAAAAGCUUACCAAGCCGACGAUCUGUAGCUGGUCUGAGAGGACGAUCAGCCACACUGGGACUGAGACACGGCCCAGACUCCUACGGGAGGCAGCAGUGGGGAAUUUUGGACAAUGGGCGCAAGCCUGAUCCAGCAAUGCCGCGUGCAGGAUGAAGGCCUUCGGGUUGUAAACUGCAUUUGUACGGAACGAAAAGCCCCGGGUUAAUACCCUGGGGUCAUGACGGUACCGUAAGAAUAAGCACCGGCUAACUACGUGCCAGCCGCCGCGGUAA
rnacentral:rRNA from 1 species